GACGAACGCUGGCGGCGUGCUUAACACAUGCAAGUCAAGGGGGCCCGCAAGGGUAACCGGCGAACGGGUGCGUAACACGUGAGCAAUCUGCCUAGAUGUGGGGGAUAGCCGGCCCAACGGCCGGGUAAUACCGCAUACGCUCGUCGACUGGCAUCAGUUGACGAGGAAACUUUCGAGGCAUCUAGAGGAGCUCGCGGCCUAUCAGCUAGUUGGUGGGGUAACGGCCUACCAAGGCGGUGACGGGUAGCUGGUCUGAGAGGAUGGCCAGCCACAUUGGGACUGAGAUACGGCCCAGACUCCUACGGGAGGCAGCAGUGGGGGAAUAUUGCGCAAUGGCCGAAAGGCUGACGCAGCGACGCCGCGUGGGGGAUGAAGCAUUUCGGUGUGUAAACCCCUGUUGCUCGGGACGAACAAGCCUUUCGAGGGCUCUGACGGUACCGAGUGAGGAAGCACCGGCUAACUCCGUGCCAGCAGCCGCGGUAAU
rnacentral:rRNA from 1 species